AAGAAAGUCCUCAAGAACUGCUAAUUCUUAUAACCAUACCUAAAAAUAUGGCUUUCUUA
rnacentral:tRNA from 1 species